GACGAAGGAUGCAAGCGUUAUCCGGAUUCAUUGGGUUUAAAGGGUGCGUAGGUGGCCUUAUAAGUCAGUGGUGAAAUCUCGCAGCUUAACUGCGAAAUUGCCAUUGAUACUGUAGGGCUUGAGUAUAGUUGCCGUUGGCGGAAUAUGACAUGUAGUGGUGAAAUACAUAGAGAUGUCAUAGAACACCGAUUGCGAAGGCAGCUGACGAAACUAUAACUGACACUGAGGCUCGAAAGUGCGGGGAUCAAACAGG
rnacentral:rRNA from 1 species